rnacentral:lncRNA from 1 species
AUGACUAUGAAUUGUUAAUAGCAAUAAGUAUGUGCAGUUCAUAUAUAUUUGGUUGGAAUUAAAUGUAUGUUAAAUUUGUUAGUCACCAAAGUGGCCAAAUUUGUAAGGUUAUUUAAUUCCAAAUUAAUGAUUAUUUCAAUUACUCAUAGAAUAAUGGAUGCUAAAUUAUAUGACUGUUGGCUUAUGGGUAAUUGAAAUUCAUUGUUAUAAGGCAUUUAUGGAUCACCC